GACGUAGGUGGCGAACGUUAUCCGGAAUUAUUGGGCGUAAAGGGCGCGUAGGCGGCCUGACAAGUGGAAGGUGAAAUCCCUCGGCUUAACCGAGGAACUGCCCUCCAAACUGUUUGGCUUGAGUCCGGGGGAGGUGAGUGGAAUUCCCAGUGUAGCGGUGAAAUGCGUAGAUAUUGGGAGGAACACCAGUGGCGAAGGCGGCUCACUGGACCGGAACUGACGCUGAUGCGCGAAAGCGUGGGGAGCAAACGGG
rnacentral:rRNA from 1 species